UACAGAGACUGCAAGCGUUAUUCGGAUCCACUGGGCGUAAAGGGUGCGCAGGCGGCCAAGUGUGUGAGGCGUGAAAGCCCGGGGCUUAACCCCGGAAUUGCACCUCAAACUACAUGGCUAGAGCAUUGGAGAGGGUAGCAGAAUUCAUGGUGUAGCAGUGAAAUGCGUAGAUAUCAUGAGGAAUACCAGAGGCGAAGGCGGCUACCUGGACAAUUGCUGACGCUCAGGCACGAAAGCGUGGGGAGCAAAAGGG
rnacentral:rRNA from 1 species